GGUCUCUAAUCUUGGUAGAGACAGUUACAUGCUUUCGCUGGAAGGGCAGUCCAACAAGCAUGUUUCCUACUUUUAUCCACCUCACUCCAGACGGGGUGAUUCUUCAGUUCCCUGGGAAAAAUCGUAAACUGAAUUGGAGUAGAAACAGGCCAUAUUCAAGU